ACGAGGGGGGCAAGCGUUGUUCGGAAUUAUUGGGCGUAAAGGGCGCGUAGGCGGUGCGGUAAGUCACCUGUGAAACCUCUAGGCUCAACCUAGAGCCUGCAGGCGAAACUGCCGUGCUUGAGGGUGGGAGAGGUGCGUGGAAUUCCAGGUGUAGCGGUGAAAUGCGUAGAGAUCUGGAGGAACACCGAUGGCGAAGGCAGCCUUCUGGGCCAACACUGACGCUCAUGCACGAAAGCGUGGGGAGCAAACAGGA
rnacentral:rRNA from 1 species